AAUGAACGCUGGCGGCAGGCCUAAUACAUGCAAGUCGAGCGGAGAGGCGGACGGGGGAGUGAUGCCUCGGAAGCUGCCAGGUGGUGAGGGAUAAAGCACGGAAACGGGAGCUAAUGACACAUCCUUUCAAAGCAGCCUAGGUCGGAUUAGCUAGAUGGUGGGGUAAAGGCUUACAUAGGCGACGAUGCGUAACUGGUCUGAGAGGAUGAUCAGUCACACUGGAACUGAGACACGGUCCAGACUCCUACGGGAGGCAGCAGUGGGGAAUAUUGGACAAUGGGCGAAAGCCUGAUCGAGCAAUGCCGCGUGUGUGAAGAAGGUUUUCGGAUUGUAAAGCACUGUUAGUUGGGAGGCGUUACCAACAGAGUAAGCAACGGCUAACUACGUGCCAGCAGCCGCGGUAAUUC
rnacentral:rRNA from 1 species